AUGAACGCUGGCGGCGUGCCUAAUACAUGCAAGUCGCACGCUUCACUUCGGUGAAGAGUGGCGAACGGGUGAGUAAUACAUAAGUAACCUGGCAUCUACAGGGGGAUAACUGAUGGAAACGUCAGCUAAGACCGCAUAGGUGUAGAGAUCGCAUGAACUCUAUAUGAAAAGUGCUACGGGACUGGUAGAUGAUGGACUUAUGGCGCAUUAGCUUGUUGGUAGGGUAACGGCCUACCAAGGCGACGAUGCGUAGCCGACCUGAGAGGGUGACCGGCCACACUGGGACUGAGACACGGCCCAGACUCCUACGGGAGGCAGCAGUAGGGAAUUUUCGGCAAUGGGGGAAACCCUGACCGAGCAACGCCGCGUGAAGGAAGAAGUAAUUCGUUAUGUAAACUUCUGUCAUAGAGGAAGAACGGUGGAUAUAGGGAAUGAUAUCCAAGUGACGGUACUCUAUAAGAAAGCCACGGCUAACUACGUG
rnacentral:rRNA from 1 species